rnacentral:lncRNA from 1 species
AAGAAAAUUCACCUGGAGGCCAAAUUGUCUCUAAUAACAAGUCCAAGACAUGCAUUCCAGCUGGAAUCCUCUUCCCGGAUGGGUUGUGUGUUUUUAAUUGCAGUAGCCAUCUCCAAAAAUGCCAUCCAGUAACCAUGCCCUUGUGUGCUGCCCUUUCCAUGAAUCUGAGCUAGCCCCAUAAUUUGCUUUUGGCCAUUGGAUGGUGGUGGAAGUGAUGCUGUGUGACUUUUGAAGCUGAGUUACAAGCAGCCUUGGACAGUCUUUCUAGACCUCGUGGAGGGCUCACUCUGGGGGAAGCCAACCAGCAUGUAAGGAGCAUAACUGCCCUGAGACCGCCGUGUUGUUAGGAUGCCCAGCUAGCUAUGUGGAGAAGCUGCAUAGACUGAGGGAGAAGCCCAGCUAGUCCCCAGUUAUUCCUGCCACCCUAACUGAGGCACCAGACCCAUGAGCAAAGAAACCAUCAUGGAUGUCCUGUCCCAUCCAGCUUCUGUGACUGUAACUGUAUGAGGACCCCAAUGAAAACCACACAGCUGAGCCUAGUCAACACACAGAGCUAUGGAAGAUAAUAGUAAAUUGUUG